GUAGUCCACGCCCUAAACGAUGUCUACUAGUUGUCGGGGAUUAAUUUCCUUGGUAACGCAGCUAACGCGGGAAGUAGACCGCCUGGGGAGUACGGUCGCAAGAUUAAAACUCAAAGGAAUUGACGGGGACCCGCACAAGCGGUGGAUGAUGUGGAUUAAUUCGAUGCAACGCGAAAAACCUUACCUACGCUUGACAUGUCUGGAAUUCCGCAGAGAUGUGGAAGUGCUCGAAAGAGAGCCAGAACACAGGUGCUGCAUGGCUGUCGUCAGCUCGUGUCGUGAGAUGUUGGGUUAAGUCCCGCAACGAGCGCAACCCUUAUCAUUAGUUGCUACGAAAGGGCACUCUAAUGAGACUGCCGGUGACAAACCGGA
rnacentral:rRNA from 1 species